rnacentral:rRNA from 1 species
AUUGAACGCUGGCGGCGUGCCUAACACAUGCAAGUCGAGCGGUAACGCGGGAGCAAUCCUGGCGACGAGCGGCGGACGGGUGAGCAAUAUUUGGGAAUCUGCCCAGUAGUGGGGGACAACCCGGGGAAACUCGGGCUAAUACCGCAUACGCCCUAUGGGGGAAAGCGGGGGUCGCAAGACCUCGCGCUAUUGGAUGAGCCCAAAUCGGAUUAGCUAGUUGGUGAGGUAAAGGCUCACCAAGGCGACGAUCCGUAGCUGGUCUGAGAGGAC